UCCCUGGUGGCUCAGAGGUUAAAGCGACUACCUGGAAUGUGGGAGACCUGGGUUCGAUCCCUGGGUUGGGAA
rnacentral:tRNA from 1 species